rnacentral:rRNA from 1 species
AACGAACGCUGGCGGCAGGCUUAAUACAUGCAAGUCGAGGGGCAGCACGGUUAGCAAUAACUGGUGGCGACCGGCGCACGGGUGCGUAACACGUAUACAAUCUACCUUAAACAGGGGGAUAGCCUUUCGAAAGAGAGAUUAAUACCCCGUAAUAAAUUGAACGGCAUCGUUUGAUUUUGAAAGCUCCGGCGGUUUGAGAUGAGUAUGCGUCUGAUUAGCUAGUUGGUGAGGUAACGGCUCACCAAGGCGACGAUCAGUAGGGGAUCUGAGAGGACUAACCCCCACACUGGUACUGAGACACGGACCAGACUCCUACGGGAGGCAGCAGUAAGGAAUAUUGGUCAAAUGGAGGCGAACUCUGAACCAGCCAUGCC